AUGUCGGAAGAACACAGCAUUCCUGACGCUUUGUUGGAAGCCGUGGCAGAAUUGAACAGAGACGUUGAUCAUAUAGCAGCACCGGUCGACCCCCUACAGCCUUUAGAAAACGCUCUCCAGGCCCUCCUCCAAAACAUUGAAAACGAACGGCGUGCUGACCGACAGAACUUUGACCCUCUGCAACCUUUAGAAAAUGCUCUUCAGCUCUACGGCCAGCAGAGGGAGGAGCGCUCUGCGGAGCGGCAGCAGCAGGUGCAGCCUGCGGAGGAAGAGCGGCAGGUGCAGCCUGCGGAGGAGGAGCAGCCUGCGGAGCAUCAGCACGGAGGAUCUCGGGUACAGAACGAUGCGGUGACUCGCCGUGAACAAUUUAAUAAUUUUGAAAUAAGACGAGUCUUUAACAUUCCCUCUCCGGAUGACGCGGCCGACCUCGCUCAAUUUUACCUCGACGUCAGGGACAAUUUUGUAGAUCUAACGGAUAGGGUCAGACCCGAAGUUAGCCAUAACGAUCGCGUUCAACUGGAGAUCAUCAGCGAGCACGCGCAAAAGCAUGCCGUUUUUAACAUCGACGAUCGCACCGAAAACAUUGUACCGGCUUUUGAGGACCUGUUGGCCAGACUGAUACAAUCAAACGGCGCGAUCGUGGUCAGCUCUCCCCUAGAAAUUGUAGUGCAAGUAAUUAGAAAUCCUAGAGGCGGCAGCAAUGGCCCGCGUAAAAAGAUUCACAAAACAUUAGAUAAUGAAAUUAUAGUCAAAAAGCGACGCUGUCUGUACGUGGUAGAAAACAAAAACGACAAUCUGUGCUUCGCCAUUAACUUGGCUCACCUCACCGAGCCUCAUUUCACAGAUAAACAGGCCCUGGAACCCGGCAGAGAGCUGCAGCGUUUAUCGGGGUUGAGUGAUCGGACCCAGGUAACCCUCACCGACAUAGAUAAAUUUGAGCAAAUACUAAAUUGUAAAAUCGUUGUGUUUUACCGCCCUCCCGAGGACAGGACUCUUUUGCUAAUCGAGACAGAGUCCCCAAACACGCCUCACUCGCUGUACUUA
rnacentral:lncRNA from 1 species